rnacentral:sRNA from 1 species
GCGGCGCGGGAAUUUUGCGGACAGACGC